CUUUUUUUUUUUUGUCUUUUCUAGGGCCACACCUGCGGCAUAUGGAGGUUCCCAGGCUAGGGGUUUAAUCAGAGCAACAGUUGCCGGCCUACCCCACAGUCACAGCAACACAGAAUCCAAACCCCAUCUGCAACCUACACCACAGCUCACGGCAACGCUGGAUCCUUAACCCACUGAGGAUCGAACCCACAACCGCAUGAUUCCUAGUCAGAUUCUUUAACCACUGCACCACAACAGCAACUCCCUCCUCAUGAAUUUAUAAACAUCUGACAUACUCUAUAUUGGGUUUAUUGUAGCUUUAUUGCCUGCCUCUCUAUGGCUAGAAUAUUAAGCCCAUGAGAACAGGCACUUCAAUUUAUUCACCUUCUGUAGCUCUAGUGCCUGAGAUAAUGACCAGUUUGGGGCACGAUAAAGUUGAGAGGACGGGAGGCAGCGAGGAAGGAGGGCAGUUGAGGGGGAGGGAGAGGAAAGUAUCCGUAGAUAUCAGGUAAUGGAGCGCUUUCUGUGCCAAGCUAGAGCCUCUACCGCUUAGAUUAUAGGGACUUAUUGAGACAUUUCAAAUAGAAGUGUGCAAUAACCACAUUUGCAAACUAGGAGAAUGAAUUUGUAAAAGUCAAACCGGAAAGCAAAGAGAACCAUCUGGAGGUUACUGUCGUGGUACAGGAAGUGAGAUAUUAAGGACGUCAGAGCUUGAAGAGGAAGAGGAUAUUUUUUAUAAAGUAUUCCUAAAAUACAGCUGCCAGGAUGUUGAAGGCUAGCACAGUCAAAUUCCCGUACGGUCUGCUCACGCCAUCACUGAGAGAGCAAACUCAGAAACAGAAGCAAUACCGGCAUCAUGAAAUUGACGAGGAGACAUCCAGANUCGUGGAUUUGAAUGUCUGACCAGGACAGAGAGAGGUCAAGGCAGAUACAGAUUUUUUAAAUAAAUUGCAUGUAGGUGGGAACUGAAACCAGGAGAAUAAACAAAAUUACCCUCAAGACAGCAUGCUGAGAAAGGAGAUAAAAGGAUAAAUGACGGGAUUUAAUUGGAAUGGUAACUUCCCAUGUUUGCUGUGUUUACAAAAACAUUUUUAUUCUUCUAUAUGUGCUCUUCUAACAAUCUAAAGUUUUGAAAGAAUUUUUUUCCUUGCAGCCAUAAAUCCUUUAGUUCACUCAGUGGAGUGUCUAGAUAAUCUUAAAAAAAAAUCUUUCUUGUAUGUUCAUGUUUCUUUCAUCUAAGAGAAACUAACCAAUAACAACACCCCUCUAUUCUUUUUAAAGUACAAUUCUCAUACUUCGAUAGGCUUUUGCUUUCAUUGAUUACGGUACAGGCGCCACACACUUUAAAUUUGUGUUACAUCACACAUGUUCUUCAAAUAUUCCUAUUACUAAAAUUUUUUCACCUAAACUCCAUUUCUUUAUUGUCAAUCAGUAUGAAAUGCAAUAGAUAUCAUGAAAACAUAGCAUCUGAACUAGCUAAAGCAAAGGACAUCAUUUCUCUAACUGUCCUAACAAAAAUUUCAUAAUUCAAUAUAUUAAUUUCAUAAGGAAUAGAAAAAAAUCAGAGUAUGUAUAUAUAGACAUGCACAUUUAAAAUCUUUCAACACCACUUGUAUAUCAACUUGUUAUCAUAAUAGCAAGUCAUUUAACCUUUCUAAACUUCUAUCUUGAAAAAAGAAGCCACAACAGGAGGAAAGGAAAAUUACUGAUUAUUUUAUAACUUUGCUAACACCAUCAAAAAUGACCAAUCGAUUCUGUUCAAUACAAUAGGGGUUAAGUCCUGGAUAUCUUUCAGCAACUCUAGUAAUGUUUUAAAAAGUGGUUGUGGUACUUAUUCACCAGGUUUAAAAUAAACUCUUUGGAUGCAAAGGAAAAGGAAUGAUAAAACUUGACAUCACCUCUUUAAGCAAUUGAUUUCAAAUACAAAGCUCAUUUAAUCUUUUUUAGCCACUUUGAAGAUACAAGAGAAUGAGAAGCAUCUGUAAGUGAGAAAAUAAAUUAACAGGCUAGUGUUGUGGUUGUAAUUCUGGCUAAAUUCCAGUGUCAGUUUUUAUAAUCCUGUAGCAGUGACACAUAAUGCCUCUACCAUAGGACAAGUCCAAAGGAGACUGAUUAAAUACUUCAUACCGUCCCUGGAUCCUGGGAAGAUUCAAAGGCAAAGGAAAGAAUAUAAAUCAAAAAAGAAAUUAUAAAAAUAUGCUUGGUCAUUACACCAGGGGACUCUGUCCUACUAAAAAAUGUUUUGCGAAUAUAUAAAAACACAGGUUUAUUGCCAAUUUACGGAUUCAAACAUGCCUACCUUGCAUUUUACUAAAAAAACAAAACAAAACAAAACAAAACAAAAAAAAAAAACCAGAGAUGCUAACAUCCAUAGUAAUCUUUUCCAAAAGUGUCAAUACAAUAAUUCACAAACAGGGCUUGUUUCAUUUUAGGCUUCUUGUGAAAUGCAAUUAAGGGGUAAAAAGAUUUUUCCUAGACUACUUGGCUAAAAAACAAUUACGUUAUUAUUGUUUUAAAUUAGCUCACAUAUCUCUUGAUGUGUAUAAGUGAAAAAAUGUACAAUGUUUAUACAUAACUUGUUAAUAGGUUAUGUUUCUCCUAGUUAAUAAAGCUUUGAUAAAAUGCCAUUAAAAACAGAAAGUGUAAGUAAUCCCAACAAAAUGAUACAUUAGGUAUUUACUUUCCAGGAAAACUUUUUUAAUAAAAUACGUUUAGUACUUUAAAACUCAUAGUGAUGAAUCAUCAAUAUAGAAAAACAAUUAUUUCUUGGCAAUCGGACUACUUAUUCUUCAAUUUAUGCUUCAUAUCCUCUCUAAAGGGUCUUCUAACUAUGCGAUAUAUUUACUUAAUGAUUCAGUCGGAGAGUUUUAUAUUAGUAGUAGCUGAUUUUGAAUAUAGCAUAUUGUCACUGGACCAAUAAUGAAAUUUUUAUAUUUAUUGAUACAUAUUUAUAGGUGCCAUAAAAUCUUGAAAAAUAAAGCAGAAGUUUUAAUCACAACUUGGUUAAAUUUAUUCUGUGAUUAUUAAAUAUGACAAAAUUUUUGCUUAAACAAUGGUUAGUAGCCAGCAAAAUUUAAAUGCUAAGUAUAACAAUUGGCCUACAUUUUCAUAAUAAUUUUAUUUCGUUAUAAUUUUUAUAAUGAUUUCUAAUGCAAAUGACACAUUUAGAGAAAAUAAGUGACUAAUAUUAUUAAUUUAUCACCUAAAUUCUUUCUCAUUUUUAGAUCAAAUGUUUUAUGGAAUAUUCACUUCUUGCUUAAAAUUUUAUUUCUGUAUGAUCAUAAAUGUAAUAAAUGUCCACAAUAGAGUUCCAUUCAUUUUACAUUUUUCAGACUAUUUUCCAUUGUAGAGUACUCUAAAACAUUACAUACAGUUCCCUUGUUUCUUAUCUAUUUUAUGAAUAGAAGUUUGCAUCUGUUAAUCUCAAGAUCCUAAUUUAUCCCUCUCCCUCCCUUUCCCUUUUGGUAACAAGGACUUUAUUUUCUAUGUCUGUGAAUCUGUUUUGUAAUAAAUAAGUUCGUUUUUAUUAUUUUUUAAAUUCCACAUAUAAGUGACAUCAUAUAAUAUUUGCCCUUCUGCCCGACUCACCUCACAUAGGUAUGAUAAUCUCUAGGUCUAUUUGUGUUGCCUCAAAUGACAAUAUUUCAUUUCUUUUUAUGGCUGAGUAAUAUUCCAUUUGUGUGUGUGUAUGUGUGUAUACCCCAUCUUCCUCAUCCAUUCCUCUGGUCAUGGACACUUAGACUGCUUCCAUGUCUUGGCUAUUAUGAAUAGUGCUGCUACAAACAUUGGGGUGCGUGUAUAUUUUCAAACUAGAAUUUUUGUCUAUUGUGGAUACAUGCCCAGGAGUGGGCUUUCAGGAUUAUAUGGUAACUCUGUUUUCAGUUUUUUAGGGAACUCCAUACUGUUUUCCAUAGUGGCAACACCAAAUUACAUUCCAACCAACAGUGGAGGAAUGUUUCCUUUUUCCACAUCCUCUCUAGCAUUUAUUGCUUGUAGAGUAAUUACUGAUGGCCAUUCUGACUGGAGUUAGGUGAUACUUCAUUGUACUCUUGAUUUCCUUUUUUCUAAUAAUUACCAAUGUUGAGCAUCUUUCGAUGUGUCUGUUGGCCAUUUGUACAUCUUCUUGGGACAAAUGUCUAGUUUUUCACCCAUUUUUUUGACUGGGCUGUUUAUUUUUUGAUAUUGAGCUCUAUGAGCCAACUGCACAUUUUGGAAAUGAAGCCAUUGUUAAUCACAUUUCAAAUAUUUUCUCCCAUUCCUUAGGUUGUCUUUUUGUUUUGUUUAUGGUUUCCUUUGCUGUGCAAAAGCUUUUAAGUUUGAUUAGGUCACAUUUGUAUAUUUUUGCCUUUAUUUGUCUUGGGAGACUGAUCUAAUAAAAAAUUACUGCGAUUUAU
rnacentral:lncRNA from 1 species